GACGAACGCUGGCGGCGUGCUUAACACAUGCAAGUCGAACGGAAAGGCCCUGCUUUUGUGGGGUGCUCGAGUGGCGAACGGGUGAGUAACACGUGAGUAACCUGCCCUUGACUUUGGGAUAACUUCAGGAAACUGGGGCUAAUACCGGAUAGGAGCUCCUGCUGCAUGGUGGGGGUUGGAAAGUUUCGGCGGUUGGGGAUGGACUCGCGGCUUAUCAGCUUGUUGGUGGGGUAGUGGCUUACCAAGGCUUUGACGGGUAGCCGGCCUGAGAGGGUGACCGGGCCAAUUGGGGAUGGAGGUAGGGCCCAGACCCCUAGGGGGGGAAGCGGGGGGGAAUAUUGCACAAGGGGGGGAAGCCUAAUGCAGCAACGCCGGGUGGGGGAUGACGGCCUUGGGGUGGUAAACCGCUUUCGCCUGGGACGAAGGGGGGGGGAGGGUAAGGGGGAAAGAAGCCCCGGCGAACUACGU
rnacentral:rRNA from 1 species